AGUAAGAAGCAAAACUUGCAUUUAGUUUCGACCUAAAAAUAUGAUGAAUUCAUCCUUACUU
rnacentral:tRNA from 1 species